GAGUGCGUGGCAGGUUGGCAAUGCCUCCGCAUAACUAACGGAAGGAGAUGUGAAGCAAAGUAUCAUCUACGCAGGUUCGAAUCCUGCCGCACUCCCA
rnacentral:tRNA from 1 species